AAAUGGAUUUGUGUACAUUUAUGAAACGUCUCAAAAGCAUCCAUUCUUGUAUGGACCCACUAUUCUGACCAUGUCUGCUUGCUAUGAAACAGCUAUUCAGUCAUGUUGCCAAGAAGAAAAUAAAACUGAAUGCUUCCAGAUAAAGGGAAUUGGUUCUGCUGACUAAAAAACAACCCAAAGCUGACUUUUCUGAAAUUGCCAGGCUGGCCGUGGAUACUAAAAAUCUGCAUCAGACGUGCUGUGAAGGAGAUGUAGUAGCAUGUGUACUUGGCA